UAGUAUCUUCUUUUCUUCUCUAUAUACUUCUUCAUUCCAUUCUUUCUGUUUACACUAGAAGAAGAACAAGUCAACAAAUGGGUUUUGGAAUGAGAAAGGGUUUUGUAUGGGAAUGUGGUGGUGGAGACUCAAAAAUCUAAAUCAAGCAUUAUGGUAUCUCCUCUCAAAACAAUAAAUUUCGACUUAGAUGAACCUGAAACCUGGAAGGCAUUUGAUGUUACACAGAAAACUCACCAGUGCAUAUAAAUUCUGCACAUCACCUGUCAUAGUGUUGCCCUUUUAGGUUUUUUCAAUUGUGGUUGAUGUUAAUUGUUUUAAGCUUAAGUGUGCCUUGAAGAUUAAAGGUGGUCUAUCUGUUAGAAGGUUUGGGUAUGAAUACUACUCCUAACAGAUAGAGUAUUUGAUUAGGCGAAUUCUACCAUGAGCUGGUUAGAGUUAUUCGUUAAGAGACUUGAGUAGUUAUGGGUGAUCUUUUUAUGGUGAAGAAUUGGGAACCAGGAUAUGAUAUGUCCCGUUUCCUAUUAA